UCGGAUAUGGUGUAACGGCUAACAUUACCGCCUUUCAUAUGCCAGCCGGAAAAGAUAUUGCGCGGUAGCUCGGGGUUCGAUUCCCCGUAUCCGAA